UGGCUUGUCGUCUAAUGGGUAGGACGCGGUGCUCUGAACGCCGUUAUCUUGGUUCAACCCCAAGCGAGCCAGCCA
rnacentral:tRNA from 1 species